rnacentral:sRNA from 1 species
GCUCUGGAAGCUGGGUUGGGGGAGGAAGCCUGGUGGCUCUGACCUCCCCUGGAGGCGCAGGAGGCCCAGCCAUGACACUCUUAGUGGAUGCCACGCCCCUGGUGAAGGAGCCCCACCCCCUGCCUGUGGCCCCACGUCCCUGGGUCCUCCCCAGCCUGUUUGCUGCCUUCAAUGUAGUGCUGCUGGUCUUUUUCAGUGGCCUCUUCUUCGCAUUCCCUCUCAUUUCACUCAACUUCUCAGACCCUGGCAUCUUACAUCAAGGCUCCGCUGAGCAGGGCCCCUUGACGGUGCACGUGGUGUGGGUGAACCACAGGGCCUUCCGCCUGCAGUGGUGUCCAAAGUGCUGCUUCCACCGCCCACCCCGGACCUACCACUGCCCCUGGUGCAACAUCUGUGUGGAGGUGAGUGCCCCUUUACCUGUCCACCAGCCAUCGCCCCACAUCUGGCUGGGACCAGGAGCCUCCCUCAUACAGGGGCCAGGGCUGGGUGUGAAGCUGUCUUUCAGGACUGCUAAAGGCCAAGGGUGGCAGUAACUCCCAGCCACCCUUGGUCACUCAUGUGUUCUCCACCUGCACCUGUCCUGGGAGGCUGGCCAUUGCCUGCAGGGGUGCUGACAUGCACAGGGCAUCCACAUCUGUCCUGGGCUGGGUCAGGCCAGGGGAGGAGAGGCAGUCCUCUGUCCCACCCCUGGGCUUGCUAACAUGAGAUACCCAAGCCCCUCAGGCUGGCUGCCCGCCUGGUCUGGGAGGCCUUGCCUGUCCUUGCCUGGGUGUCCAAGUUGGAGGGUCUCCUGGCUCUGAGUGACCAUCUCUCUCGAGAGCACGGCUUGCAUAGGUUUACAAGUGCAGGAGGCUGGCUGGGCAAGGGUGUUACUGUUACUGUCAUCUUCAUCGAAUGGAUGAGAAAGUGGAGGCCCAGAGAUGGUUUACGUUCUGCCCAAAGUUACAGUAGGAUGUGUCUCACAGAAGGCCAGGCCAGCCUUCUCGCUAAAGGUCUUCUGACAGGACUUUGACCACCACUGCAAGUGGGUCAAUAACUGCAUUGGUCACCGCAACUUCCGCUGCUUCAUGCUGCUCGUCCUGUCCCUGUGCCUCUACUCAGGCGCCAUGCUGGUCACCUGUCUCAUCUUCCUGGUGCGCACAACCCGCCUGCCCUUCUCCGCCGACAAGGCCAUCGCCAUCGUGGUAGCUGUGUCCGCCGCGGGCUUCCUGGUGCCGCUGUCCCUCCUGCUGCUGAUCCAGGCCGUGUCCGUGAGCUCCGCCGACCGCACCUACAAGGGCAAGGCACCUUCAGGGAUACAACCCCUUCGACCAGGGCUGUGCCAGCAACUGGUAUUUAACAAUUUGUGCACCACUGGGACCCAAGUACAUGGCUGAAGCUGUCCAGCUGCAGAGAGUGGUGGGGCCUGACUGGACAUCCAUGCCGAACCUGCACCCUCCAAUGUCCCCCUCUGCUCUCAACCCCCCAGCCCGCCCUGGCCCCCAGCCCCAACCUCUGGAUCCCUCCAAACCAGGGAAGGGUCCCCCAGGGCGUGGUGAGGCUGCAGUUCUCCAGGAGUUCCACACGGGCCCAGUGCUGCCCCUGCUGCUGCAGGAGCCCCCAGGCGAGGUUCGGCCUUCCUCUCGCCCCUGUGCACCCGGAGAUGCCCGCAGCACCAGCACCUGAGCUCACCUCCUGAAUCCACCUCCUGAACCCGCGUCCUGAUUCCGCCUCCUGAACCCGCCUCCUGAACCCGCCUCCUUACCUCCCACUUCCUGAGCCCUCAGUGGAACCCUUUCUGUGCCCUGCCUUUACCCACUCCCCUGGUGGGACUGCCAAGACCCUCAAUGCCCAUUAAAUACCCUUGCCUGCCUCUUA